CGGGGAUGGUGGCGAGUGGCGAACGGGUGAGUAAUACAUCGGAACGUACCCAGGAGUGGGGGAUAACGUAGCGAAAGUUACGCUAAUACCGCAUAUUCUGUGAGCAGGAAAGCGGGGGAUCGCAAGACCUCGCGCUCUUGGAGCGGCCGAUGUCGGAUUAGCUAGUUGGUGAGGUAAAAGCUCACCAAGGCGACGAUCCGUAGCAGGUCUGAGAGGAUGAUCUGCCACACUGGGACUGAGACACGGCCCAGACUCCUACGGGAGGCAGCAGUGGGGAAUUUUGGACAAUGGGGGCAACCCUGAUCCAGCCAUGCCGCGUGAGUGAAGAAGGCCUUCGGGUUGUAAAGCUCUUUCGGCGGGGAAGAAAUGGCAACGGCUAAUAUCCGUUGUUGAUGACGGUACCCGCAUAAGAAGCACCGGCUAACUACGUGCCAGCAGCCGCGGUAAUACGUAGGGUGCGAGCGUUAAUCGGAAUUACUGGGCGUAAAGCGUGCGCAGGCGGUUUCGUAAGACAGACGUGAAAUCCCCGGGCUCAACCUGGGAACUGCGUUUGUGACUGCGAGGCUAGAGUACGGCAGAGGGGGGUAGAAUUCCACGUGUAGCAGUGAAAUGCGUAGAGAUGUGGAGGAAUACCGAUGGCGAAGGCAGCCCCCUGGGUUAGUACUGACGCUCAUGCACGAAAGCGUGGGGAGCAAACAGGAUUAGAUACCCUGGUAGUCCACGCCCUAAACGAUGUCAACUAGGUGUUGGAAGGGUUAAACCUUUUAGUACCGCAGCUAACGCGUGAAGUUGACCGCCUGGGGAGUACGGCCGCAAGGUUAAAACUCAAAGGAAUUGACGGGGACCCGCACAAGCGGUGGAUGAUGUGGAUUAAUUCGAUGCAACGCGAAAAACCUUACCUACCCUUGACAUGCCAGGAACUUUCCAGAGAUGGAUUGGUGCCCGAAAGGGAGCCUGGACACAGGUGCUGCAUGGCUGUCGUCAGCUCGUGUCGUGAGAU
rnacentral:rRNA from 1 species